CUUUGGGGUUUCGGGAUGUCUGCUCAGCACUCAGAAUGCGGUUUUGAAAUUGGCCUGACUGUUCUGGCUUGCCGUACCCGGAACAUGACUGAGGACUUCGAGCUGCGUGACCUUUUACAGUUGGGUUAUGUGUGCUGAUGAGGUUAGGUGCAGAUUGGAUCUAUCUGGAGAAGGCAAUCUAUAAGAUAAGAGAAAGGGCUCAGGCAGGUGGAGAAGUGCCUGAUAUCAGGCUCCUCACUCACCACAAGGAGAAUAUUUCUGCAGGAGAAGACUAACUCCUGUGCGGAUGUAGAGACUUCUACAUCCCACCAACCGAAUGUCAGCAGGAUGUCCACCCCUUGGUGGAGAAGUUAGCUGCCCAAUCGCUGAGGAAGCAAGUUCUGAGACCUCAGAGGAGCUUUGGCAAGGCUGUCUCCUGCACUUGCUACCAACUCAAAUACUGAUGCCUUGUUGCGAAUUUCACACUUAGAAAGUUUGGGAGCCCAGGCUGGUGAGCAUCUCACUGCAAAGGCUACACAGCUGACGAAGAAGAAAAGCACCGGACCGCAAACACUCAGUGGGCUGCAAGAGAUUGGCAGGAGAAGAACUUAUGGUGUCAGCAAUCAGGGACUUAGUCCACCUUUGCAGGGAGGACCAGGAGCAGCAAACCAUUAUAUGGGGUCAGUGGUCAUUAUAGACUAGAGACUGUUAAAGUGAAGGCAUACUUUGGACACCCAAAGAUUGGAUCAUCUCCCUGCAUCCGUGUAUAUGUCGGCAGCUGCUACGAAUGGAGAUUCAGUUCAGGUGUGUACAAGGUAUGCUGGAGAGAUGCACAGACUUACACUCCAUCACUCCAGCCAUUGGUCCUCAGAACCAAAGGCAUGGUGACAGGGGACGGGGAAUCUGAUACUGCCCCUUUACAAGGAGAUAGGGAGGUGCCAGGAAGCACCCAGGUGGAAAAGAAAACAAGCACACAGGAUCAUCAGAAGUGUCCUCUCACAACACUCCAGAAGUGGCCAGGCCUUCCAUAGCCAUCUGACCAACGGCAGCUCAUUCGUUGUGCUGACAGGGAGCAUAAACACUAGUACAUAAACUUUAAGCCAAAUGUACUCUUCAUAUAAAAGCUAGUCCUGUAAACAGUGAAGAUGAAACCAUUGCUGAUUGUUGUGAAAAGUCAUGGGUUGCAGAACUGCUCCAGAAGCCACCCUCACUCUCACCAGAGUACUGCUCUUAAGACUAUUUUGGAAAGCACUA